GAUGAUGCCAUUUUGGUAGGCCUCGGUAGGGUCUUUCUUUUUGCGCCUCGUGGAAAAAACAUUAUAUGCCGAAUUUCUUACUUUGCGGUUGGGGCAAUACGUGCGCCUUGGUGAAGUUGGAUAACCUAAUCGGCCUGCACAAGCCAUUUUGAGGAACUUGAUUUGUCGGAUUAGUUAGCGGGGGACUAUACGCAGUUUUCAUUAAGCGGCACAGUUGAACGGUCGUUGUCCAGUGUUGACGACGCAGAUAUCUACAAACAAAGGAACAGGAAGGUCGAGGCACGCUCGGUUGCGUACGAAAUAUUCUUUAUGAUAUGAUUUAAAAUUAAACCCACCCCAACACAUUUUUUUGUUGCAGUUUUUUGACUUGAAGUCUUUUCUCAAACACAACUAGCCUGACUCAUUCAGUCCCGUUAGCAACAUCGGCUAGGGAUAGCCGUAAUUGUGGACAGCUAGCGAGCUAACUGCUAACUUUAGCAUUACAGAAGCAGGAGAGUUUUCUUUUUUGUGGAAGAUGGCUGAAGUAUACAUUCGAGUGGCAGAGGAGGAAAACGAGGAACCCAUGGAGAUCCCGUCCGAAGACGAUGGCACUGUUCUGCUUUCCACCGUGGCAGCUCAGUUUCCUGGGGCGUGUGGCCUACGGUUCAGGAGCCCCGUGUCUCAGUGCAUGCGAGGAGUGCGUCUUGUGGAGGGGGUCCUGCACGCACCAGAAACUGGGUGGGGAAAUAUCGUGUAUGUGGUGAACUAUCCAAAAGACAACAAAAGGAAAAUGGAGGAAAUUGAUGCGUCGUCUGCGGUGAAAAUGAAGCGAGGAGACAUGAAGACAUCUGACCUGAUCGUACUGGGUCUUCCGUGGAAAACAACAGAGCAGGACCUGAAAGAUUACUUUAGCACAUUUGGAGAAGUCAUCAUGGUUCAGGUAAAACGAGAUGCCAAGACGGGAAACUCUAAAGGAUUUGGCUUUGUGAGAUUCACAGAGUAUGAGGCUCAAGAAAAGGUGAUCUCCCAGCGGCAUAUGAUUGACGGGAGAUGGUGUGACUGCAAGCUCCCUAAUUCGAAGGUGAAUAUGCAAGGUCCAGAUGAGCCAUUGAGGAGCAGAAAAGUGUUUGUAGGCCGUUGCACAGAAGACAUGACCACAGAUGACCUACGGCAGUUCUUCAUGCAGUAUGGCGAAGUCACAGAUGUCUUCAUCCCCAAGCCAUUCCGUGCUUUUGCCUUUGUCACAUUCGCAGAUGACCAGGUUGCCCAGUCUCUCUGUGGAGAGGAUCUAAUAAUCAAAGGCAUCAGUGUUCACAUCUCAAAUGCUGAGCCCAAACAUGGCAAUAGGCAGUUUGAUCGCACCACACGGUUUGGGAAUGGCUUUGGAGCUCAAGCAUUUGGUAGCAGCCGUAGUGGGUUAGGGAGCAGCACUAACAGCAGUCUGGCGAAUUUUGGUUCCUUCAGUCUGAACCCUGCUAUGAUGGCUGCUGCUCAGGCUGCUCUGCAGAGUAGUUGGGGAAUGAUGGGCAUGCUGGCUAGCCAGCAGCAGACAUCCACUUCAGGAAGUACUUCCAGCGGAACAAGCUCUAGUAGGGACCAGAGUCAGUCUUUCAGUACAGGCAACAGCAACUACGGCACCAGCUCAGCCAGUCUUGGCUGGGGAACAGGGUCAAACUCUACAACAAGUGGUAGUGGGUUUAGCUCAGGUUUUGGGUCCAGUAUGGAGUCAAAGUCAUCUGGGUGGGGUAUGUAAGUUAAAUGUUUGUAUGGUAAGUAUUGUGACAAAGAUGAGUCUUUUCAAAAUUUAUUUCUGGUGUUGAUGCGUAUCAGAAGAUUUAACACUUUUGUGGAAGAUGUUUUGUACAUUUGGAAAACAAGCUAAAGAUUUAAUUUAGAAAGUGUUGAAGUGAGUUGUUUACCAGGAUGUCUGACUAAAGUGCUAUUUUUGAUGUCUCAUUUGUUUGUAUCCAUUUCAACUGGAUUCUCUAAUGCAUGUAUUGUGAAAUGUGAUAUAACCAUUUUGAAAAAAAUGCAUGAAUGUUUGUGGUUCACCAUUAUCCGGCUUUGUCAUCGACCUAAAAAGGCAAUCUUGCAUUGGGAAGAAUCUGGUUGAAACCUAAAUGUUUUAAGUGCAACUUUAUUUGCAGUCAAGUUCUGUGGAAAAGCCUUCAUUGAAAUCUCUUCUGCAGUUCACCUCUCUUCCAUUUUCCUGUGAGGAAGCUCCUAUUUGGCAGCAUUCUUGGGGUGAUAUCGGUAUCAUUCUCCCUCUUCCCACCUGUAAAUGCUAUGCCAUCACAGAACGGCUUCACUCCGCAUGUUCUAAGAGACGGGACCUUGGGCUCUGCUGGUCGAGGUCUCCGUUUGAACCCUGACUGAAGUGUGUUCUGAAGGACGAAGACGGAAGUACCAACACUUUCAGUGUGUGGCCUUCUCAGACAUGACAUGGGGUAGUACCUGUCUUUUUGCUGCUUUUGAUGGCUUGUCAGAGUGAAUUAUCCCUUUGAGUAUUCACAGCUACUUUUAAGGUUAGAGGGACGUAUUUAGUGGGUCAUACUUUAACCAUGAACAGAUAAGCAAUGUGGUAAAACAAACAAUAUUUAUUGGCCCUAAUUUGGCUAAUGUAAUGACAACAAAUGACACAUUGCUGAGGGGAUUUUUUUUUUUACGUGGCCUUACACUCAGUGGCCACUUCGUUAGGUACACUUGUACAAUGUAUUGCAAUUCAAUAGCACAAAGCCAUAAAUUAAGUUUAUCAUUGGUUGUAAGAGAUGUGUAGAUUCCAUUGUAUUUUAAUACUGCAGUCAUAGGUGGUCUACUGAACUAGGGUAUAAAGUAAUGUUAGUCUUAUUUACAUACGAGUGGGAGCAGAAGAAUAAACACUGGAAAAUGCACUUUAGUAUAACACCACCGCUACCUAUGGCCUUCAUGCUGAAACAUCUUUAUUUUUUUUAUAGGUAUCAUUUAAGUACAGUUAAAUUCAGAUGUAUUGGAUUGCGUUAGAUUGUACAGGGGUACUUAAUAAAGUGGUAAUUGAGUGUAUGUUAUGGGUAGUUUGCCUGACAGUCUUAACAGUACAUUUGAGGUUCUUCUAAGUGUAAACACAUUUUUGGAUAAUCUUAAUAUUUUGAAACAUAGCAGGUAUGUAAUUUAGCAGUCUAAACUGCUCAAAUAGGAUUUCUCAGUCAGCUUCAGAGUUUUUGUAGUCAGUGUCACUUUUGACAGUGCUUUAAAAAAAACCCAAAAAACAUUACAAUCACUUCAUUCAUGAUCAUGUUUGUUGUAUGGCAAACCAGUGCCAAAUGCACUAUACUUUGACAUUUCCUCAGCAGGUCCCAGGAUAGAAGUAGUUAGGCUGAAACUACUGUAUGCUGUAGAAUUCUUUAAAGUUGAAAUGCAUAAUUCCAUUAACAAAAUGGCAACGACACCUUGUAUUAGUCAGCUUUAAUGUUUAUUUGAAUGUUGGGCACAAGUGAGACACUGCAGGUCUGCCUGUGUCUUGUCCUUAUUCUCUGCUUUCCUCCUCAGUCUCUCUGCUUUUCCUCUUCCCAGUAUUUUUCUUUUUCAAAUCCCUCUGCUCCUGGUUCAGUUCUUCACUUUUAUUUUGUAUGUAGAUGGACUGAAAUAAAGGCAAAUUAAACAUG